rnacentral:rRNA from 1 species
GCAAGUCUGGUGCCAGCAGCCGCGGUAAUUCCAGCUCCAAUAGCGUUUAUUAAAGUUGUUGCAGUUAAAAAGCUCGUAGUGGGAUUUCGGGAUGG